GAAAUGCGAUAAGUAAUGUGAAUUGCAGAAUUCAGUGAAUCAUCGAAUCUUUGAACGCAUAUUGCGCUCUCCGGCAUUCCGGAGAGCAUGCCUGUUUGAGUCUUGGUACCAAUCUGGUGUAACCUUUGUAUUAAGGAUAGAACUUUUUAUAAAAAACUGCAUUGAGACGUCUUGAUAAGUAAAAUUGUUAAGUGUCUUAAAAUACAAUAGUACAGCUAUAGCUCACCCUCUUUGGAGUAAUAUGUGACCUGAAAGGGUAACUCUAUUUCUCCUCGUUGGGAAGACUUGUUGCUGGAAGUUUUUGAUUGCUGAACGUCAAAGGCGGCAUUCAAUUGUUCGAGUAACGACGAACUUAAAAAUUCAAGCUCAAAUCAGGUAGGAUUACCCGCUGAACUUAA
rnacentral:misc_RNA from 1 species